rnacentral:rRNA from 1 species
GAUGAACGCUGGCGGCGCGCCUAACACAUGCAAGUCGAACGGUUAAAGCAUCUUCGGAUGUGCAUAAAGUGGCGAACGGCUGAGUAACACGUGGGCAACCUGCCCCUCGCAUCGGGACAGCCUCGGGAAACCGUGGUUAAUACCGGAUACUCCGCCACCCCCGCAUGGGGGAGGCGGGAAAGCCCAGACGGCGAGGGAUGGGCCCGCGGCCUGUUAGCUUGUUGGUGGGGCAGUGGCCCACCAAGGCGAUGAUGGGUAGCCGGGUUGAGAGACCGACCGGCCAGAUUGGGACUGAGACACGGCCCAGACUCCUACGGGAGGCAGCAGUGGGGAAUCUUGCACAAUGGGCGAAAGCCUGAUGCAGCGACGCCGCGUGCGGGACGAAGGCCUUCGGGUCGUAAACCGCUUUCAGCAGGGACGAGGCCGCAAGGUGACGGUACCUGCAGAAGAAGCCCCGGCUAACUACGUGCCAGCAGCCGCGGUAAUACGUAGGGGGCGAGCGUUAUCCAGAUUCAUUGGGCGUAAAGCGCGCGUAGGCGGCCUGCUAGGUCGGGAGUCAAAUCCGGGGGCUCAACCCCCGUCCGCUCCCGAUACCGGCUGGCUUGAGUCUGGUAGGGGAAGGUGGAAUUCCCAGUGUAGCGGUGGAAUGCGCAGAUAUUGGGAAGAACACCGGUGGCGAAGGCGGCCUUUCUGGGCCACGACUGACGCUGAGGCGCGAAAGCUAGGGGGAGCGAACAGG